rnacentral:rRNA from 1 species
GACGAACGCUGGCGGCGUGCCUAACACAUGCAAGUCGAACGAGGUCCAUCCUUCGGGAGAAGACCUAGUGGCGAACGGGUGAGUAACACGUGAAGAACCUGCCCCGAAGACCGGGAUAACCCUCCGAAAGGAGAGCUAAUACCGGAUACCCCACCGAACCGCAUGGUUUGGUGAGGAAAUGGAUUCCGCUUCGGGAGGGCUUCGCGGCCUAUCAGCUAGUCGGUGGGGUAACGGCCACCAAGGCAUCGACGGGUAGCUGGUCUGAGAGGACGAUCAGCCACACUGGGACUGAGACACGGCCCAGACUCCUACGGGAGGCAGCAGUGGGGAAUCUUGCGCAAUGGGCGAAAGGCCUGACGCAGCAACGCCGCGUGGGGGAUGAAGGCUCUCGGGUUGUAAACCCCUUUCAGCAGGACGAAGUCAAGACGGUACCUAGCAGAAGAAG